rnacentral:lncRNA from 1 species
CUUGAGAAACAUCUUAUGGAAUCAACUUAUCUAUCAAAAGAUAUUUUCUUAUAGUGAGAGUUGUGCAUGUAAUCCUUUGACUUGAGACUAUCAUAGAACAUUAUAUACAUGAAUCUAUAUUUUGGUUCAUAUUCAUGCAUGACUUAGUCAUGUACGGGAUGAUCUGGAUAUGGUGAAAUAUGCAUGAAGGUUGUGAGAAUAUCAACAUAGAAUCGAUCACUC